CUACCGGGGUUUCUAAUCCUGUUUGCUCCCCACGCUUUCGCGCCUCAGCGUCAGUAAUGAGCCAGGUUGCCGCCUUCGCCACCGGUGUUCUUCCCAAUAUCUACGAAUUUCACCUCUACACUGGGAAUUCCACAACCCUCUCUCACACUCUAGUCGUCACGUCUCAAAUGCAGCCCCAAGGUUAAGCCCUGGAAUUUCACAUCUGACUGUAACAACCGCCUACACGCCCUUUACGCCCAGUCAUUCCGAGCAACGCUAGCCCCCUUCGUAUUACCGCGGCUGCUGGCAC
rnacentral:rRNA from 1 species